GACGAACGCUGGCGGCGUGCUUAACACAUGCAAGUCGAACGGAAAGGCCCUGCUUUUGUGGGGUGCUCGAGUGGCGAACGGGUGAGUAACACGUGAGUAACCUGCCCUUGACUUUGGGAUAACUUCAGGAAACUAGGGCUAAUACCGGAUAGGAGCUCCUGCUGCAUGGUGGGGGUUGGAAAGUUUCGGCGGUUGGGGAUGGACUCGCGGCUUAUCAGCUUGUUGGUGGGGUAGUGGCUUACCAAGGCUUUGACGGGUAGCCGGCCUGAGAGGGUGACCGGCCACAUUGGGACUGAGAUACGGCCCAGACUCCUACGGGAGGCAGCAGUGGGGAAUAUUGCACAAUGGGCGGAAGCCUAAUGCAGCAACGCCGCGUGCGGGAUGACGGCCUUCGGGUUGUAAACCGCUUUCGCCUGUGACGAAGCGUGAGUGACGGUAAUGGGUAAAGAAGCACCGGCUAACUACGUGCCAGCAGCCGCGGUGAUACGUANGGUGCGAGCGUUGUCCGGAUUUAUUGGGCGUAAGGGCUCGUAGGUGGUUGAUCGCGUCGGAAGUGUAAUCUUGGGGCCUAACCCUGAGCGUGCUUUCGAUACGGGUUGACUUGAGGAAGGUAGGGGAGAAUGGAAUUCCUGGUGGAGCGGUGGAAUGCGCAGAUAUCAGGAGGAACACCAGUGGCGAAGGCGGUUCUCUGGGCCUUUCCUGACGCUGAGGAGCGAAAGCGUGGGGAGCGAACAGGCUUAGAUACCCUGGUAGUCCACGCUGUAAACGGUGGGUACUAGGUGUGGGGUCCAUUCCACGGGUUCCGCGCCGUAGCUAACGCUUUAAGUACCCCGCCUGGGGAGUACGGCCGCAAGGCUAAAACUCAAAGGAAUUGACGGGGCCCCGCACAAGCGGCGGAGCAUGCGGAUUAAUUCGAUGCAACGCGUAGAACCUUACCUGGGUUUGACAUGGAUCGGGAGUGCUCAGAGAUGGGUGUGCCUCUUUUGGGGUCGGUUCACAGGUGGUGCAUGGCUGUCGUCAGCUCGUGUCGUGAGAUGUUGGGUUAAGUCCCGCAACGAGCGCAACCCUUGUUCACUGUUGCCAGCACGUUAUGGUGGGGACUCAGUGGAGACCGCCGGGGUCAACUCGGAGGAAGGUGGGGAUGACGUCAAGUCAUCAUGCCCCUUAUGUCCAGGGCUUCACGCAUGCUACAAUGGCUGGUACAGAGAGUGGCGAGCCUGUGAGGGUGAGCGAAUCUCGGAAAGCCGGUCUCAGUUCGGAUUGGGGUCUGCAACUCGACCUCAUGAAGUCGGAGUCGCUAGUAAUCGCAGAUCAGCAACGCUGCGGUGAAUACGUUUCCCGGGGCU
rnacentral:rRNA from 1 species